rnacentral:rRNA from 1 species
UACGAAGGGGGCUAGCGUUGUUCGGAAUACUGGGCGUAAAGCGCACGCAGGCGGAUUGAUAAGUCAGGGGUGAAAUCCCGGGGCUCAACCUCGGAAUUGCCUUUGAUACUGUCUGUCUUCGAGUUCGGGAGAGGUUGGCGGAAUUCCUAGUGUAGAGGUGAAAUUCGUAGAUAUUAGGAAGAACACCAGUGGCGAAGGCGGCCAACUGGCCCGAUACUGACCGCUCAUGUGCGAAAGCGUGGGGGAGCAAAC